rnacentral:lncRNA from 13 species
CAAAUUGCCAAACCGCGAUAUUGUGUCCAUCGUAUUUAGGCACUAAUUCGAGCGCGUCUCUUAUAUACGAUCGCGAGUACGGCGUGUUGGAUGGAUAGGUAAAUGCACUUGGCAUUGACGAAGCGGAGGGAAUAUCUCUUAGCGCUUCUGGAGACCAAAGAGGCACAUGUUCGGGCUGUCCGGUAGAUGUAAAAGUAGGAGGAGGUCUACUGCCUGCGAGAGUUUGGGUGCGUCAAGUUUGACGAAAUAAUUGAAAGGAGAGUAUCGUGCGGAGAGUUUGAAAGGAGAGGAAAGAACAGUGCUUUAAGGAGUAUAUCGCGUGCCAUCAGAUGGAUCAUACAUCGUUGUGUAUGCCGUAUCAUCAUGCAGCAUCGACGCAAUGGACUCGAUUUAAGAAUUAAAAUCUGCAUGUAAGCUGUUAAUUAGCGAUGUAAUUUACUAAUUAGUAAUGUAACUUAUUGAUUAUGUAACGUUACACCACGCUGUCAUUAGUAAUUAUAUUAUAUU